CCUUAGAGCGAGGACACCAAAGCGGGAAGAUCAAAGAGCGAUGUUGCCACUGGUAAUAGAAAGGACACAAUCAGCUCUACAAAAGACUUGUCAUAGAGGGCUCAGAAAAGCUGGAUCCCAACCAGCCCAGGCCUCCAGGUAGUGGACCUGCUCAUGGACCAGUAGACAUGUCCCAGUCACGAGCAGAUGGACCAAAACAGCAAUAUCUAAAGGUUUACCCUUGGACUGUGUACAACGACAGGAGACGGGGCUUCAA